GCCAUGCCGCGUGUGUGAAGAAGGCCUUUUGGUUGUAAAGCACUUUAAGCGAGGAGGAGGCUACCUAGAUUAAUACUUUAGGAUAGUGGACGUUACUCGCAGAAUAAGCACCGGCUAACUCUGUGCCAGCAGCCGCGGUAAUACAGAGGGUGCGAGCGUUAAUCGGAUUUACUGGGCGUAAAGCGUGCGUAGGCGGCCAAUUAAGUCAAAUGUGAAAUCCCCGAGCUUAACUUGGGAAUUGCAUUCGAUACUGGUUGGCUAGAGUAUGGGAGAGGAUGGUAGAAUUCCAGGUGUAGCGGUGAAAUGCGUAGAGAUCUGGAGGAAUACCGAUGGCGAAGGCAGCCAUCUGGCCUAAUACUGACGCUGAGGUACGAAAGCAUGGGGAGCAAACAGGAUUAGAUACCCUGGUAGUCCAUGCCGUAAACGAUGUCUACUAGCCGUUGGGGCCCUUGAGGCUUUAGUGGCGCAGCUAACGCGAUAAGUAGACCGCCUGGGGAGUACGGUCGCAAGACUAAAACUCAAAUGAAUUGACGGGGGCCCGCACAAGCGGUGGAGCAUGUGGUUUAAUUCGAUGCAACGCGAAGAACCUUACCUGGCCUUGACAUACAGAGAACUUUCCAGAGAUGGAUUGGUGCCUUCGGGAACUCUGAUACAGGUGCUGCAUGGCUGUCGUCAGCUCGUGUCGUGAGAUGUUGGGUUAAGUCCCGCAACGAGCGCAACCCUUUUCCUUAUUUGCCA
rnacentral:rRNA from 2 species